GAUGAACGCUGGCGGCGUGCCUAAUACAUGCAAGUCGAGCGAACGGACGAGAAGCUUGCUUCUCUGAUGUUAGCGUCGGACGGGUGAGUAACAUGUGGAUAACCUACCUAUAAGACUGGGAUAACUUCGGGAAACCGGAGCUAAUACCGGAUAAUAUUUUGAACCGCAUGAUUCAAAAGUGAAAGACGGUCUUGCUGUCACUUAUAGAUGGAUCCGCGCUGCAUUAGCUAGUUGGUAAGGUAACGGCUUACCAAGGCAACGAUGCAUAGCCGACCUGAGAGGGUGAUCAGCCACACUGGAACUGAGACACGGCCCAGACUCCUACGGGAGGCAGCAGUAGGGAAUCUUCCGCAAUGGGCGAAAGCCUGACGGAGCAACGCCGCGUGAGUGAUGAAGGUCUUCGGAUCGUAAAACUCUGUUAUUAGGGAAGAACAUAUGUGUAAGUAACUGUGCACAUCUUGACGGUACCUGAUCAGAAAGCCACGGCUAACUACGUG
rnacentral:rRNA from 1 species